rnacentral:rRNA from 1 species
CAACGGAUCUCUUGGUUCUGGCAUCGAUGAAGAACGCAGCGAAAUGCGAUAAGUAAUGUGAAUUGCAGAAUUCAGUGAAUCAUCGAAUCUUUGAACGCACAUUGCGCCCGCCAGUAUUCUGGCGGGCAUGCCUGUCCGAGCGUCAUUUC